GCACAUCCUGGCACGUGAAUUCUGAGCAGACUUGGUCUCUCGCUCUUUAGUUCUCUUUGGCUGCUUCUGUCUGUGCUGUAUUUGUUGUAUCUGGUUGCAGUGCCCCCUACAUACCUGACCCCAGGAAGGUUCUGGAAGAGGGGUGGAUCAAGAGUGUAGGGUCGUGCAGGAGGUUAUUUGCCUUGCUACUAAUUGUAAGCUCAUCCAACCAAGCUUCAGGCCAGGACGGUAUGGAGGCUGAGAAGACUUGAAAAUGGAAGGGCUGGGGUAGCAUCACGUGCAACGAGCAGACUGAGACAUCUUUGGUUGUCACAGCUGUAGCUAAUGGAGUCAGCUGCUACUCAAAGCACGAUUAUGAAGUCUCUGAGCCUGGACCAGAGGCAGGGAGGCUCCUGUUCUGGGCAGCGUGGCACUGGGGAGACAGAAGAGCUGUCUCUGGCUUUAAC
ensembl:lncRNA